CAUCGAUGAAGAACGCAGCGAAAUGCGAUAAGUAAUGUGAAUUGCAGAAUUCAGUGAAUCAUCGAAUCUCUGAACGCAUCUUGCGCUCCUUGGUAUUCCGAGGAGCAUGCCUGUUUGAGUGUCAU
rnacentral:rRNA from 1 species